CCUCCUCUUGUUGGCGGGGAUGGGCAUGUGUCCCAAUCCCCAUAAUGUACGGAGGCAGAAGGAAAGGGCUCCAGCACCCUCGGCGUCAUGUCUUCGGUGCCAGCAGCUUCCAGUUCUCCAGUUCUAUCCUCAAGCACUGGGACAUGG
ensembl:snoRNA